AUCAUCAUUUGUGUUAUACUGAAGAAACAAAGUCACCUACAUCUUGGAUGCGCUGGGGAGUUUGAGAACCUGCAUUAGGCUGUGUCUUGCCAGGACAAGCAAAAAGAGCCUACCAGAAUGGAUUAAAGGUAAAAUCAUCAAUAAUCCAGUGAUGCUCAAUCAUGUGGAACAUGCUUUAGAAUAUACCUUGUCCUGCUCCACAAAGUCAACAAACGCUGUCCUCUCCACUUCCACGGGCUGCCCAUUGCGAUCAUACAGUGCCAGAACAAAAUGGAAGAAGUUGGACUUUCUGAGAUUGGAGGGAGGCUGCUUUUCGAAGUGAGCACGGGAUAAGGACACUCCACUGUGGAUGUAGGGUUUCAGAGAGUUAAAAAACAGCUUAUUUAUUCUUUUUUUUUUUCACAAUUCAUAUAACUGACCAUUUACUUAUAUAAUACCAUCUGCUAAAUUCAACAUAAGCUCAGUACAAUUCUUAAUGCAUGUCUCGGAUGAGAUCAAAAUAAAAAAAUACUUCCAC